rfam:Pteropus alecto contig104857, whole genome shotgun sequence.
UUGCUCACUUUGGCAGCAGGUAUACUAAUAUUGGAAUGAUACAGAAAAGGUUAGCAUGGCCCCUGCACAAGGAUGACAUGCAAAUUUGUGAAACGUUUCAUACUUUU